rnacentral:rRNA from 1 species
ACGCUCGACAGUUCAGCAGCCGCGGUAAUAACGAGAGGGUGCGAGCGUUAAUCGGAUUUACUGGGCGUAAAGCGUGCGUAGGUGGCCAAUUAAGUCAAAUGUAGAAAUCCCCGAGCUUAACUUGGGAAUUGCAUUCGAUACUGGUUGGCUAGAGUAUGGGGAGUAGGAUGGUAGGAAUUCCAGGUGUAGCGGUGAAAUGCGUAAGAGAUCUGGAGGAA